rnacentral:rRNA from 1 species
GACGAACGCUGGCGGCGUGCUUAACACAUGCAAGUCGAACGGAAAGGCCCUGCUUUUGUGGGGUGCCCGAGUGGCGAACGGGUGAGUAACACGUGAGUAACCUGCCCUUGACUUUGGGAUAACUUCAGGAAACUGGGGCUAAUACCGGAUAGGAGCUCCUGCUGCAUGGUGGGGGUUGGAAAGUUUCGGCGGUUGGGGAUGGACUCGCGGCUUAUCAGCUUGUUGGUGGGGUAGUGGCUUACCAAGGCUUUGACGGGUAGCCGGCCUGAGAGGGUGACCGGCGACAUUGGGACUGAGAGAGGGACCAGACUGCUACGGGAGGCAGUAGUGGGGAAUAUUGCACAAUGGGCGGAAGCCUGAUGCAGCAACGCCGCGUGCGGGAUGACGGCCUUCGGGUUGUAAACCGAUGUCGCCUGUGACGAAGCGGGAGUGACGGUAAUGGGUAAAGAAGCACCGGCUAACUACGUG